rnacentral:rRNA from 1 species
UACAGAGGGUGCGAGCGUUAAUCGGAAUUACUGGGCGUAAAGCGCGCGUAGGCGGUUUUGCAAGUCGGGUGUGAAAUCCCCAGGCUUAACCUGGGAACUGCAUUCGAGACUGCAUUACUAGAGUAUGGGAGAGGGAAGUGGAAUUUCCGGUGUAGAGGUGAAAUUCGUAGAUAUUCGGAAGAACACCAGUGGCGAAGGCGACUUACUGGACACAUAUUGACGCUGAGGUGCGAAAGCGUGGGGAGCAAACAGG